rnacentral:rRNA from 1 species
GAUGAACGCUGGCGGCGUGCCUAAUACAUGCAAGUCGAGCGAACAGACGAGGAGCUUGCUCCUCUGACGUUAGCGGCGGACGGGUGAGUAACACGUGGAUAACCUACCUAUAAGACUGGGAUAACUUCGGGAAACCGGAGCUAAUACCGGAUAAUAUAUUGAACCGCAUGGUUCAAUAGUGAAAGACGGUUUUGCUGUCACUUAUAGAUGGAUCCGCGCCGCAUUAGCUAGUUGGUAAGGUAACGGCUUACCAAGGCAACGAUGCGUAGCCGACCUGAGAGGGUGGUCGGCCACACUGGAACUGAGACACGGUCCAGACUCCUACGGGAGGCAGCAGUAGGGACUCUUCCGCAAUGGGCGAAAGCCUGACGGAGCAACGCCGCGUGAGUGAUGAAGGUCUUCGGAUCGUAAAACUCUGUUAUUAGGGAAGAACAAAUGUGUAAGUAACUAUGCACGUCUUGACGGUACCUAAUCAGAAAGCCACGGCUAACUACGUG